CGCCCAUUCUCGGCUUCAGUUUUUCGGGUCCUGGGACUUGUUUGGGAGGGAAGUGGCUGUGGAAAGUCGUUUUUCCUGCGGCUUCUCACGCAGACUCCCCGGAUUUCUUAGUCCGAACCAGGACUUGUAGGUCCCUGCAUCCCGGCGGGCACUGAUUUCAGGGUGGGAAGAAUUUUACCCUCAGCAGCUCUACCGGCCGUCGUACUUUCCUGGUUCUUUAACCUUCCACAUCAUUCCAUCCUCCCGGGUGUUCCGCGGAGCUGACCGGGAUGUCUCCUCAGCACAGGAGCGGUGACCUCUUCGGCAAGUGUUAUGCGCUGACUGCUCUAGGCGGUGUUCUCAGUGCUGAGGAUUAAGUAGUGAACAAAAUAAAAGUUCCUGUUUUCAUGGAGAUUUCCAUCCGGUGAAGACAUUUUCUUGGCCUAGCAGUUCAGAAAUUCAUUACCAGGUAGGCAAUACCUGUCCCGAAAUUCGACACUGUCUUUCUUCUCACAUGGACUGAAGCUUCGGGCUCAGUCUCCAUCUUGGAGGAAGUGAGUCUUUAAGAAAAGGGAAUUUUUGUAUUUGAAGACAGGCACAGUGUGGGCUUUCAACUUCACCGGCCUCUUUGCUUGGUUCAGUGUCUGGUAUCCUCUAAACGUCGGAGAAGAAAGACUACCAGUCCAUUUUUAAACUGCUUGGAUAGGCAGUGUGGUCUGGAGAAAGACCUGAGUUGAGUCAAGACUCCUUCACUUACAAGUCAUGUGACUGGACAAGGGGAUUGCCAUAACCAAGACUGUUUUAUUUGCAAAACUGAAAAUAGCAAUACCUCUUUUACAGUUUGAGUGUGUAUUAUUCAAUAAUAGAUGUAAAAGGGCUUAGCACUAUACCUAGCAGAUAAUAAAUUUGCAACAAAUGUUAACUUACUUCCUUAACAGGAAAUUCAUUUUAUCACCUACCACUCUCUGCCCCUCAGCUUUCCUGGCACUGAAUUAGAUUCUAACUCCUAAAUGGAGUUAGGUUGAAAGAAACUGAUUCCUGUAACAGACAAUAGUAAUCCUGUUACUGAUUUAUAUAUCUUGUUUAGAGAUGAAAGAAAUGCAUAGAGGCACAUAGACUGAAGAAAAAUGGUUAGAAGUUUUCUGACAUCAGUAAACAGAGAAACUCUGACUAGUAACAGUUUAAUAAAGCAUGUGUGCUGAUGAAUGAA